UGGGGAAUCUUGGACAAUGGGGGCAACCCUGAUCCAGCGACGCCGCGUGGGUGGUAAGGCCUUCGGGUUGUAAAGCCCUUUCACCGGGGAGGAUGAUGACGUCACCCGGAGAAGAAGCGCCGGCUAACUCCGUGCCAGCAGCCGCGGUAAGACGGAGGGCGCUAGCGUUGUUCGGAAUCACUGGGCGUAAAGGGCGCGUAGGCGGUCUAGUAAGUCCGAUGUUAAAGCGUGGGGCUCAACCCCAUCACGGCGUUGGAUACUGCUGGGCUUGACGACUGGAGAGGUGAGUAGAAUUACCAGUGUAGCGGUGGAAUGCGUAGAUACUGGUAGGAAUACCCAUUGCGAAGGCAGCUCACUGGACAGUACGUGACGCUGAGGUGCGAAAGUGUGGGGAGCAAACCGGAUUAGAUACCCGUGUAGUCC
rnacentral:rRNA from 1 species